GGAAAGGCGAAAAGAACCCCGGCGAGGGGAGUGAAAAAGAACCUGAAACCGUGUACGUACAAGCAGUGGGAGCACCCUUUGGGGUGUGACUGCGUACCUUUUGUAUAAUGGGUCAGCGACUUAUAUUCUGUAGCAAGGUUAACCGUAUAGGGGAGCCGGAGGGAAACCGAGUCUUAACCGGGCGUUAAGUUGCAGGGUAUAGACCCGAAACCCGGUGAUCUAGCCAUGGGCAGGUUGAAGGUUGGGUAACACUAACUGGAGGACCGAACCGACUAAUGUUGAAAAAUUAGCGGAUGACCUGUGGCUGGGGGUGAAAGGCCAAUCAAACCGGGAGAUAGCUGGUUCUCCCCGAAAGCUAUUUAGGUAGCGCCUCGUGAAUUCAUCUCCGGGGGUAGAGCACUGUUUCGGCUAGGGGGCCAUCCCGGCUUACCAACCCGAUGCAAACUGCGAAUACCGGAGAAUGUUAUCACGGGAGACACACGGCGGGUGCUAACGUCCGUCGUGAAGAGGGAAACAACCCAGACCGCCAGCUAAGGUCCCAAAGUCAUGGUUAAGUGGGAAACGAUGUGGGAAGGCCCAGACAGCCAGGAUGUUGGCUUAGAAGCAGCCAUCAUUUAAAGAAAGCGUAAUAGCUCACUGGUCGAGUCGGCCUGCGCGGAAGAUGUAACGGGGCUAAACCAUGCACCGAAGCUGCGGCAGCGACGCUGAUGCGUUGUUGGGUAGGGGAGCGUUCUGUAAGCCUGCGAAGGUGGCCUGUGAGGGUUGCUGGAGGUAUCAGAAGUGCGAAUGCUGACAUAAGUAACGAUAAAGCGGGUGAAAAGCCCGCUCGCCGGAAGACCAAGGGUUCCUGUCCAACGUUAAUCGGGGCAGGGUGAGUCGACCCCUAAGGCGAGGCCGAAAGGCGUAGUCGAUGGGAAACGGGUUAAUAUUCCCGUACUUGGUGUUACUGCGAAGGGGGGACGGAGAAGGCUAUGUUGGCCGGGCGACGGUU
rnacentral:rRNA from 1 species